CUCUGAAUCACGAAGUUGUCCGUAACCUUGAUUUAACGUGCACGACCGUAGUACCUCUGCACCUUGGUGGCUUUGCCAGUUUUGCUUUUCCUGUUCGAUCGCGCGUAAAGAACCAAAAAGCGUCACGUAAUUUGUUCUCGUUGCAUUCAUCGUGUCGUCGCGGCAGUCGUGGACGUUUGUGACGAGUUUCAGCGCGCUUCUAAUCUCGGCAAAAAGGAACUUGACUUGGAGGCGACCAUGGAGCCAAAUCCGUCCUGACGAAAGCAAGCUUGCGGUCGCUCCCAGACGUUCCCAUGGGGAGGCUGCGCGUCCCUCGACAAGGACUGGCGUCACCGAGCGGGCGGACGGGCGCGUGCAGUUGUUCUGAACGUCCGUAGAUGUUGGCGCACCUACCCCAGCGCAGGCUGCACAUGCUGUUCUUGUGCGUCGGAUUGGUGAUGAUCGUGGCACUGUCCAAGCUGGCAACAGACAGGCUGCACGAGCUGCAGAAGCACUACCGCAUGCAGGAUUAUAUGGCGCAGAUGAACCUCGCGAAAGACACAAUGCAAGUUCUCGAGGUGAGCGCGGCACGGCUCGAAAACCACACUGCACGGCUGAGGCGGCAAGUUGCAGAAGAGAAGAAACGGCGUCAGCUCAACGCCUCGGCCAAGGCGGAAGACGUGCAGCCUCACGGCACGUCGACGUGACAGCGGUGCCCGACGGUCAAGGACUCUUUCUGAUUAUUUUAGGAACGAUGCUGCAAGAUCAGCCCAACGAAGACUUACUCUUUUUGAAGCAUUGGUGGACGUACAUGGUGUAGGCAUCAAACGAUGAGAAGGUUGCAGGAAGUGCUCUGAGCAAGUUGUGUUUGUAUUGUUGAUGUUGAAUACGGACAUCAUCGUGGCAUGCGUAGAACCCCAUCGUGUGGUCACCGCAUGUCGUCGAGGGAAACGCGGUGAGACAAAGUGACGGAACGGCGCGGUGGCGACAGGCUGAAGGGGGGGCAUUGCCAGUGAUUACAUUUUUGGCGUUCGUGGAAAGAAAUUUAGUAGCUUGAUGUGCGUAGCGGUUGACGACUUGAGUCGAUGGGAACACUGGGUGUAUCGGAGUUACUUUAAUACAGGAGCUUAGAGCAGUUUGGUAGGCUCCCUAAUUUUGGUGAUGUUUUAUUUUUCAAGGAUCAGUUGUCCUAUCAGACUAAGUAAAUGGUCACAGAGCCCUCAUCCUAUUGUAUCAUUCUUCAACUAAAGACCUAACUUACUUUGUUUCUAAAGUAAUUGGCUCAUUUUACAGAGCUUUUGACACAUAACAUAACUUGGGUAUGCAUCAUCCUUAACUGCUAAACAGUGAUCUGCACAGUGUUUUUGCUGAUCAGGUCUCUGGUCUCAUUUCAGUUCAGUACCACCUACUCCCAUCUAUCAAACUCGUAAUUCAAUGAAGUACUUGCAGUCUUGCCAUUUCCCUUCCCCGAAAAGUUCUAGGUGGCGCCUAAACGGUGCCCCGGGAUGAGCUUGCUUCGAUGUAGCUAGGAUUUCAAAUUUUUCUAUUGCGGAAAUCAAGGUAUGGUGCGUCGAACUUGUUGUGGUCCAGUUACCGGACUUCUAGCCGGACGUGGCACGAUUUUCGUGACGCCUUCAGCACAGAAAGGGUUUUCGAGGGCACCAGCAUGUUUUGUUAGGCACCGUGCAAUGUUGACAAGAAAACGUGUGGUGCGUGUUGGAAAAGUUGUGAGUGGGAUGCAUCACGCCUAAGCUGCGUCGCCUAACUAGUGAGAGAGCUAUUUCUACCCAUUUUUCAUAGUCAUCUAACGUCGGGAAGAUGCGAAAGUAACGACAGCCUAGUGGGACACCCGGUUUGGUCCUGGGGUACUUGACUGUGUGGAAAGCAGGUGUGAUUACUCCGGCUGAAUGUGUCGCUUCACUUUGCGUAUCUGACAGUCUGCAAGCAGGUCUUGUGCAGUGAAGGUUUGUGUACCAUUCAAUGUCCAUUUGUACAGACGACAUACUGCUCCCAUUAACAUUGUGCAAGUACUAAGUACUUGUUCCUAGUGGUGAUAACAGGUGUCCUGCAGGGUACUAGUACUUAACCAAAUAAAGUCCGGUGUUGCUUUUUUUUUUUUUGUGUGUGUUUUGUCAUGUGCACGUGUGUGCUUCAAAGCAAUCCCGCAGGUUGGGACAUGGCCUAUUUUGCAGGCUGACAAUGUUAAACCAUUAACACAGCUUGACGAGACUGCUAAGGUUUGAAGUACUUUUGACGCAAGCAGGAGUGUUUGGUGCUCAACGCACAUCUGUAAUCAAAGCACUUAUAUGUGCUGGAGUAACAACUUGAAGUGUCCUUAUAUCAGUGUGCUUUAUCUUCAAGUACUUAAAGUGCUUCAGCCACUCACUGAGCUUGAAGUAAUGGUAGAUAUGUCGCUAGUGCUUUGGUUAUCGAUGUGCCUACAGCACUGAAAAGUUUGGCUAUAAGGCAUCGGGCACUUGUGAAGGCAAGUACUUGUCUAAAUGCUAGAUGGUACUUGGCAAGUACUUGUCUAAAGGCUAGAUGGUACUUGGUAGAAGUGCUUUUUGCACCUAGUACCUGUUAUGUUGAAAUGUGGAUACACCUUCCAGUGCAUAUAUAAGAGGCCAAAAGAUGCACGGUCAUUGUCAUACCUAGAAGCUUCUAACAACCCAAUUUUGAGGAGUGGUUCCUGAGGUCCAUGUAGUCAAGUUUUUGGUGCUGGUUCACACCAUCUUUUUGUUUGUUUGUUUAUAAGAGUUGUGUGUUUCCCGUUUGAAUGUUCAUGGGGUUCUAGCACUGGUUGCACGGUUGUGGAAAUAAAUUUAUGGUCAUUAUUACUAA